CCUACGGGAGGCUGCAGUCGAGAAUCAUUCACAAUGGGGGAAACCCUGAUGGUGCGACGCCGCGUGGGGGAAUGAAGGUCUUCGGAUUGUAAACCCCUGUCAUGUGGGAGCAAAUUAAAAAGAUAGUACCACAAGAGGAAGAGACGGCUAACUCUGUGCCAGCAGCCGCGGUAAUACAGAGGUCUCAAGCGUUGUUCGGAAUCACUGGGCGUAAAGCGUGCGUAGGCUGUUCCGUAAGUCAUGUGUGAAAGGCGCGGGCUCAACCCGCGGACGGCACAUGAUACUGCGAGACUAGAGUAAGGGAGGGGGAACCGGAAUUCUCGGUGUAGCAGUGAAAUGCGUAGAUAUCGAGAGGAACACUCGUGGCGAAGGCGGGUUCCUGGACAUUAACUGACGCUGAGGCACGAAGGCCAGGGGAGCGAAAGGGAUUAGAUACCCCUGUAGUC
rnacentral:rRNA from 1 species